rnacentral:misc_RNA from 1 species
GAAACCUGAUUUCUUGAGAGUCCAGUUUGUUUGGCUAACAUAACUUUAUCAGUGUCCGUGGGGUAAGGGUGAAGAAAAUGGUCAAACAACCAAGCCCUAAGUACAGUGACAGCACGUUCAGGAAGCCCUCUUUGUGGUCUCCAAACAGGUUGAGUUUCUUGUCUUUGGCAAUAAAUUCCUUUGCCAGAAAUUCCAACUCCUCUUUCACAAUUAAUUUGACCAUGUGAAGAUUUUCUUGUUGUAAAUUGAAGUUGGUCAAUUAUGGCAUCUUUAAGGCAUUUGAAGUG